ACUUUCCUGUUGCUCAGUCAGUAGAGCAUUAUGCUAGCAACUCAAAGAUCAUGCGUUCAAACCCAGGGAAAGUA